GUGGGGAAUAUUGGACAAUGGGCGAAAGCCUGAUCCAGCCAUGCCGCGUGUGUGAAGAAGGUCUUCGGAUUGUAAAGCACUUUAAGUUGGGAGGAAGGGCAGUAAGUUAAUACCUUGCUGUUUUGACGUUACCGACAGAAUAAGCACCGGCUAACUUCGUGCCAGCAGCCGCGGUAAUACGAAGGGUGCAAGCGUUAAUCGGAAUUACUGGGCGUAAAGCGCGCGUAGGUGGUUUUGUAAGUUGGAGGUGAAAUCCCCGGGCUCAACCUGGGAACUGCCUCCAAAACUGCAUGACUAGAGUACGGGAGAGGGUAGUGGAAUUUCCUGUGUAGCGGUGAAAUGCGUAGAUAUAGGAAGGAACACCAGUGGCGAAGGCGACUACCUGGACUGAUACUGACACUGAGGUGCGAAAGCGUGGGGAGCAAACAGGAUUAGAUACCCCGGUAGUCC
rnacentral:rRNA from 1 species